CUACGGGUGGCAGCAGUGGGGAAUAUUGCACAAUGGGCGAAAGCCUGAUGCAGCAACGCCGCGUGAGCGAUGAAGGCCUUCGGGUCGUAAAGCUCUGUCCUCAAGGAAGAAUUUUGACGGUACUUGAGGAGGAAGCCCCGGCUAACUACGUGCCAGCAGCCGCGGUAAUACGUAGGGGGCUAGCGUUAUCCGGAAUUACUGGGCGUAAAGGGUGCGUAGGUGGUCUGACAAGUCAGGGGUGAAAGGCUACGGCUCAACCGUAGUAAGCCCUUGAAACUGUCGGACUUGAGUGCAGGAGAGGAAAGUGGAAUUCCCAGUGUAGCGGUGAAAUGCGUAGAUAUUGGGAGGAACAUCAGUGGCGAAGGCGACUUUCUGGACUGUAACUGACACUGAGGCACGAAAGCGUGGGGAGCAAACAGGAUUAGAUACCCUGGUAGUC
rnacentral:rRNA from 1 species